GGAUAAUCUACCCUUAGGACCGGGAUAACCCUGGGAAACUGGGGAUAAUACUGGAUAGGCAAUUAUUCCUGUAAUGGUUUUUUGUUUAAAUGUUUUUUCGCCUAAGGAUGAGUCUGCGGCCGAUUAGGUAGUUGGUUAGGUAAUGGCUUACCAAGCCGUUGAUCGGUACGGGUUGUGAGAGCAAGAGCCCGGAGAUGGAACCUGAGACAAGGUUCCAGGCCCUACGGGGUGCAGCAGGCGCGAACCUCCGCAAUGUGAGAAAUCGCGACGGGGGGAUCCCAAGUGCCAUUCUUAACGGGAUGGCUUUUCAUUAGUGUAAAGAGCUUUUGGAAUAAGAGCUGGGCAAGACCGGUGCCAGCCGCCGCGGUAACACCGGCAGCUCUAGUGGUAACAAUUUUUAUUGGGCCUAAAGCGUCCGUAGCCGGUUUAAUAAGUCUCUGGUGAAAUCCUGCAGCUUAACUGUGGGAAUUGCUGGAGAUACUAUUAGACUUGAGACCGGGAGAGGUUAGAGGUACUCCCAGGGUAGAGGUGAAAUUCUGUAAUCCUGGGAGGACCGCCUGUUGCGAAGGCGUCUAACUGGAACGGUUCUGACGGUGAGGGACGAAAGUUAGGGGCGCGAACCGGAUUAGAUACCCGGGUAGUCCUAACUGUAAACGAUGCGGACUUGGUGUUGGGGUGGCUUUGAGCUGCUUCAGUGCCGAAAGGGAAGCUGUUAAGUCCGCCGCCUGGGAAG
rnacentral:rRNA from 1 species